rnacentral:rRNA from 1 species
UACGAAGGGGGGCUAGCGUUGUUCGGAAUUACUGGGCGUAAAGCGCGCGCAGGCGGUUCUUCAAGUCAGAGGUGAAAGCCCAGAGCUCAACUCUGGAAUGGCCUUUGAGACUAGAGAACUAGGGUACGGGAGAGGUGAGUGGAAUUCCGAGUGUAGAGGUGAAAUUCGUAGAUAUUCAGAAGAACACCAGUGGCGAAGGCGGCUCACUGGCCCGUUACCGACGCUCAGGCGCGACAGCGUGGGGAGCAAACAGG